rnacentral:rRNA from 1 species
CUUUUAUGGAGAGUUUGAUCCUGGCUCAGGACGAACGCUGGCGGCGUGCCUAAUACAUGCAAGUCGAGCGGAG